AUAACAUACAUAUUUUUUAAAUAGGUUUAAGAAUCCUAUUCUUGUUACAUGCCUCUCUACUCGUUACAUGUAUAUUAAAUGAAUGGUUGCUGCACUGAAAACCAAGUGGAGAAGAAAAACGUUAUGCAAAAGAUUUAAAUAUAAUUAUAUCAUACGGACACUUUGUAGUGCGAUCUUUUUGUGUUUUGUUUUACUUGAAUGUAGUAUUAAUAAGUUAAGAGGUUUCUCCUAUCCUAAGACUACUCCGUCUUCUCCUCCAGCAUCAUCGUGC